ensembl:lncRNA
UCACUGAGCAUGUCUUUGUGAGGAUACGAUUGCUACUGUUCUAACUCAUUUUUUAAAGGUCUGUUUUGUGUUGUUUCAAGCAGAACAGUGCUGCACAACUGCGUGUCUGUCCUCAGUGAGUGUACACUGAAAUAACAACAGGUUUUUUCAAGGUGUCCACCAUCUCCCCGCAAAAACAGACAGUAAAAAAUCGAUCCAAGUCCACAGAGGAGGUACAGCAAGCCAAAAAGGCCUUUCAUACACCACAAAAAUCUCUACCGGCUAAACCAGAAACCGAACAACUAGAGGAAACCUCAGAACUGAGUGCCUCAUCAGAGGAGUUCAAAUGAUUGCUCGAUUCAAACUUCGGGGCUUUGAGAUUUAGACAGAUGAGCUGGAAUUAUGGGUAAUCACAAGAGGAUGAUUCAGUGUCUCUGUUUAUAAAAUUGUGAAGUUUUAAUUAGUUUAGUUAGCAUAGAAGAAAACAAUAAUCAUGUAGCUUCUUGAAUUUGUAUGAGUCUGAUAAUGUUUGUGAAAUAAAUGCACAACUGGAUAUCA